CCUACGGGUGGCAGCAGUGGGGAAUAUUGCACAAUGGGGGGAACCCUGAUGCAGCAAAGCCGCGUGAGUGAAGACGUAUUUCGGUAUGUAAAGCUCUAUCAGCAGGGAAGAAGAUGACGGUACCUGAGUAAGAAGCCCCGGCUAACUACGGGCCAGCAGCCGCGGUAAUACGUAGGGGGCAAGCGUUAUCCGGAUUUACUGGGUGUAAAGGGAGCGUAGACGGCGAGGCAAGUCUGGUGUGAAAGCCCGGGGCUCAACCCCGGGACUGCAUUGGAAACUGCCUGGCUGGAGUGCUGGAGAGGCAAGCGGAAUUCGUGGUGUAGCGGUGAAAUGCGUAGAUAUUAGGAAGAACACCAGUGGCGAAGGCGGCUUGCUGGACAGUAACUGACGUUGAGGCUCGAAAGCGUGGGGAGCAAACAGGAUUAGAUACCCCGGUAGUC
rnacentral:rRNA from 1 species